UACGGAGAGGGCUAGCGUUAUUCGGAAUUAUUGGGCGUAAAGAGCGCGUAGGCUGGUUGGUAAGUUAAAAGUGAAAUCCCGAGGCUCAACCUUGGAAUUGCUUUUAAAACUGCUAAUCUAGAGAUUGAAAGAGGAUAGAGGAAUUCCUAGUGUAGAGGUGAAAUUCGUAAAUAUUAGGAGGAACACCAGUGGCGAAGGCGUCUAUCUGGUUCAAAUCUGACGCUGAGGCGCGAAGGCGUGGGGAGCAAACAGG
rnacentral:rRNA from 1 species